GGUCUCUUUUUCUGGACAUCCAUCCUUUGGAGUUUUGUAGGGAGCCCUGAACAGGGAAAUAUAACUGUUAGGUGAGAAGAUGGAAAAUUCAUUGUGCUCUGCAGAGAAGAAAGACAAUUUUCUUUGUAUGAAUGGCAGAACAGCCCAGCCCCAUGGCAAGAUUUGUAGGACUAAUGGCAGAAGUGAGAGGAAGCACCAUCAAUUUCCAUCAGACACUAAAAGAUGAUGGCUGUACCACGAGACACAAAGGACCUGAGAAAAGAUGAAACAAAGUUCACUCAUCUCUGGGCCCGGCAAACAGUGCAAGGCAAAAAACUCUUACCAUCCUGAAGGCCCUUUGUUGAGGGCACACCACUGAUGAAUCAUCAAAUAUCCACUGUGGAACCCUGCAGAUGUCAGUAAGGUGUGCCAAUUAACAGGAUAAUGAUGUAGGUUGCUCUUAACCGUAAUAACUCAUUAAUUUUCUGCAAACUUGUAAUACAAAUAAGACAGUAGCUAUCCAACAUCCCAAUCGCCUAAGUUUCAUAUAGUAGUUUCCCUCCAAUGAUUUUCUUCCUGUUGGGAAACUGUCCUUGGAUUAUUAUAAAACCAUUUUUCUUGUCUUUCAUAGUCCCUCUGCUUCCACUCAUUUUUACAGUCUUCUUCCCAGAUGCUUCUACUGAAAAUGUCAGUAGGAAAAAUGCAGCAAUGAUAAAGCCAAUGAGACUUCUUGCUUCCCUAUGAAAAACAAAUAACAGAUGUAGAGAAUCCCUGUUACUUAUCCCUGAAGAAUAAAACUAGGAGAUUUAAAGUUG